rnacentral:rRNA from 1 species
CCUACGGGAGGCUGCAGUGGGGAAUAUUGGACAAUGGGGGCAACCCUGAUCCAGCCAUGCCGCGUGUGUGAAGAAGGCCCUCGGGUUGUAAAGCACUUUCAGUGAGGAAGAACGCCUGGUGGUUAAUACCCAUCAGGAAAGACAUCACUCACAGAAGAAGCACCGGCUAACUCCGUGCCAGCAGCCGCGGUAAUACGGAGGGUGCGAGCGUUAAUCGGAAUUACUGGGCGUAAAGCGCGCGUAGGUGGCUUGAUAAGCCGGUUGUGAAAGCCCCGGGCUCAACCUGGGAACGGCAUCCGGAACUGUCAAGCUAGAGUGCAGGAGAGGAAGGUAGAAUUCCCGGUGUAGCGGUGAAAUGCGUAGAGAUCGGGAGGAAUACCAGUGGCGAAGGCGGCCUUCUGGACUGUCACUGACACUGAGGUGCGAAAGCGUGGGUAGCAAACAGGAUUAGAUACCCCUGUAGUC